GUGGAGCCCCAAGGAGGACAGGGCACUGGUGCUGAUGCACUGUUAGUCCGGUUGGCUUUGUGGUCAGCAUAUGGACUUUGGGGCACUUCUAAAUAGCAGCUGGAUCUUAUGUUCACAAACACCAGUGGGACCCAAGCUUGAAGAUCUGCUUUUAUCAUCUAAUGAAGCUAGAGACAGCCAGUAAAUGAAUGCAGUUGGUUGCGAUAUUACAUACAGAUAGUCCUUUCUUUGGGAUUAUUCAGUGGAUUGAAUUGACGUUCUGGGGACAAGCAGGUGACGAAAGAUCAGAAGAUUUUUGAACAACAAUAUUCAAUCAGUACUCCAGUAUUUGA